rnacentral:rRNA from 1 species
CCCUUAGAUGUUCUGGGCCGCACGCGCGCUACACUGAUGCAUUCAACGAGCCUAUCCUUGACCGACAGGUCCGGGUAAUCUUUGAAUCUGCAUCGUGACGGGGAUAGAUUAUUGCAAUUAUUAAUCUUCAACGAGGAAUGCCUAGUAGGCGCAAGUCAUCAGCUUGCGUCGAUUAUGUCCCUGCCCUUUGUACACACCGCCCGUCGCUCCUACCGAUCGAAUGCUCAGGUGAGCCAUUCGGACUUUCAUCAUGCUGGUUUCCAGUUUUGAUGAAGGAAAGUCUUGCGAACCUUAUCAUUUAGAGGAAGGAGAAGUCGUAACA